rnacentral:rRNA from 1 species
UCGAACGGCACCUAUCUUCGGAUAGAAGCGAGUGGCGAACGGCUGAGUAACACGUGGAGAACCUGCCCCCUCCCCCGGGAUAGCCGCCCGAAAGGACGGGUAAUACCGGAUACCCCGGGGUGCCGCAUGGCACCCCGGCUAAAGCCCCGACGGGAGGGGAUGGCUCCGCGGCCCAUCAGGUAGACGGCGGGGUGACGGCCCACCGUGCCGACAACGGGUAGCCGGGUUGAGAGACCGACCGGCCAGAUUGGGACUGAGACACGGCCCAG